rnacentral:lncRNA from 1 species
GACACGUCCCUAGUCCCAUUUCACAGAUGAGGAAGUUGUGGCUCAGAAAAGGGGCGGAAACUAAAGUUCGGAAAGGUAGAGCGACUUGCCCAAGGUCGCGGGACUAGAAGGUGGCGGGGCCAGGAUUCGAACCAUCGAGCUGAGCCGACGUACUGGCGAGGAUCCCCCAGGGGCAUAGAGAGGAGACGGAGCCGGUUAGAAGGGGCGCGCUCGGAGCUCG